GUUCUACCUUGACGAAUUGUAGUUUAAAGAAGUGUUUUCUGUUAGAGGAGUAGCAAAAGUUCCUUGGAAUGGGACAUCAUAGAGGGUGAGAAUCCCGUAUUUGGUUAUUCUUUCUAGCUUUGUGAUACACUUUCAAAGAGUCGGAUUGUUUGGGAAUGCAGUCCAAAAUGGGUGGUAAAUUUCAUCUAAAGCUAAAUAUUGGCGAGAGACCGAUAGCGAACAAGUACCGUGAGGGAAAGAUGAAAAGAACUUUGAAAAGAGAGUUAAACAGUACGUGAAAUUGUCAAAAGGGAAGCGUUUGACACCAAUGUUGUUUUUCCGAAAAUCAAUUAAGAAGGGCUUGAUUUUGUGUUGUAUUGACCUUAUCAGCUUUCUUCACUCUUUUUCGAGUCUUUCUU
rnacentral:rRNA from 1 species